rnacentral:rRNA from 1 species
CACGUAGGCUGUUAUGUAAGUCAGGGGUGAAAUCCCACGGCUCAACCGUGGAACUGCCCUUGAUACUGCACGACUUGAAUCCGGGAGAGGGUGGCGGAAUUCCAGGCGUAGGAGUGAAAUCCGUAGAUAUCUGGAGGAACAUCAGUGGUGAAGGCGGCCACCUGGACCGGUAUUGACGCUGAGGUGCGAAAGCGUGGGGAGCAAACA